CGAUCAGCUGACCCAUGCUCCAUAUCCGAUCAGCUGACCUGCCAUCAGCUGAUCGCUGAUGUCAGACGCCGCCGAAAGCACACGCUGACGAUAACUCCUGCUGCCACUCACCUACACCGGAGCUUGCUGGUGCCAGAAAGUUAAACCGCGAAAUGAGAUUGUUACGGUCAAGACGCCACCGGCCAGGGCGUUCUCCCGUCAACUCCUAUCAACUUGGACACAAGCUUUCUUUCACACCCAGCCAUUUCUGAGGAUUUCCCACCACAGAAGAACUGCAUCAAAGAACCGCAAGCACAUGACACGCAUAAAAAAAAACGCAACACACGUUUUGUCUAUGUGAACUGUAGUAUCAAUCAGCAUCUAGUCUGCGCAUAAUCAUCACCAUCCAAGCAUUAUCAUUCAACCUAGCCUUCAUAUCGAAGUAAAUACCAUCUUUGUCCUAUACAUGUGGCAUUUCACCUACCACAAACUUCAGGUCAUGCCAAGUGCAGACAAGAUGGCUACUCCGGCACCUCUUGUCGCAGACCUGAUGAUGAAUUAGAUCGCUUGAUGUGUAUUGGUAAAGAUCUUGUAAAUAAAGUUCUGUCCAAGAACAUGGCAAAGGCA